AAAUUUUUAGGUUAAUAAAACCAUUAGCCUUCAAAGCUUAAAUUACAAUAGUAAAAUUUA
rnacentral:tRNA from 1 species